AUGUCCACCAUUCUCACUCUCUACCGUGUCGCCGCCGUGCCGCUUCUUGUUGCUACUUUCUAUAUGGAUGGUUGGCGAGGAACAGUAGCUACUACCACAAUCUUCAUUGCUGCUUCUGUUACUGAUUGGCUUGAUGGUUAUAUUGCUCGCAAGAUGAAUUUAAAAUCUUCAUUUGGUGCAUUCUUAGAUCCUGUUGCUGACAAGCUUAUGGUUGCUGUUACUUUGGUUUUAUUAUGUACUAGACCUUUGGAGGUUUAA